rnacentral:sRNA from 1 species
UAACGCAAUGUGAUUUCUGCCC